UAGGGAAUCUUCGGCAAUGGACGAAAGUCUGACCGAGCAACGCCGCGUGAGUGAAUAAGGUUUUCGGAUCGUAAAACUCUGUUGUUAGAGAAGAACAAUGACGUUAGUAACUGAACGUCCCCUGACGGUAUCUAACCAGAAAGCCACGGCUAACUACGUGCCAGCAGCCGCGGUAAUACGUAGGUGGCAAGCGUUGUCCGGAUUUAUUGGGCGUAAAGCGAGCGCAGGCGGUUUCUUAAGUCUGAUGUGAAAGCCCCCGGCUCAACCGGGGAGGGUCAUUGGAAACUGGGAGACUUGAGUGCAGAAGAGGAGAGUGGAAUUCCAUGUGUAGCGGUGAAAUGCGUAGAUAUAUGGAGGAACACCAGUGGCGAAGGCGGCUCUCUGGUCUGUAACUGACGCUGAGGCUCGAAAGCGUGGGGAGCAAACAGG
rnacentral:rRNA from 1 species